UAAUACAGAGGGGGCAAGCGUUGUCCGGAUUUACUGGGCGUACAGCGCGCGCAGGCGGACCAGGACGUGCCGUGUGACAAGCCACCGCUCACCGGUGGAGGGCCACGGUACACGACUGGUCUGGAGGCAGGGAGAGGGAUGUGGAAUGCCCGGUGGAGCGGUGAAAUGCGUAGAGAUCGGGCGGAACACCAGCGGCGAAGGCGGCAUCCUGGUCCUGUACUGACGCUGAGGCGCGAGAGCGUGGGGAGCGAACUGGAUUAGAUACCCAGGUAGUCCACGCCGUAAACGAUGUGUACCCGGCGCUGGGAAGUGAUUGCGCUUCUCGGUGCCUCAGCUUACGCAGUGAGUACACCGCCUGGGGACUACGGCCGCAAGGCUA
rnacentral:rRNA from 1 species